rnacentral:lncRNA from 1 species
CUAAAGGACUGAUUUGUCUCAUUUUGACUGUUGAGUCUUUAAUGGGUGCCAUUUAAAAAACAAAAUGCUAUUUUUUAAUUGUCUUUUUUUUUUAACUAUCAGUGUAUCUUUAAAAGUCACCCUUACGGUGAUUAAAUUGCACUAACAUUCCCAACUUAUUCUCAUUUGUGAAAUACAUCAAUAUCAGUGUCCUGUAAGAAUCAUCCUGUGACCUAGCUCGACUGGCUGCCGUGUGCUGUGGCUCAAGGUCUGUGUCCAUGUAACUAGCAGAGGGGUGUGUGUGUGAAUGCUUUCAGCCUCCAGAAAGGUCUAGCUCACACCUCACUCAAACCUAUUUUUGUGGUUCAUGGUCUCAGUAAUACAUUGAAGGUUCCCAGAGUUCAAGCGUAGUGGUCACACGUAACUUGAGACCGUUUCUUCUCUUCAUAAGUGAAUCUUACUAGGAAUUGGGAGAGUGGAAGACCGAUUAUUGGUCAGGGAGCCAAGCCUACUUUACCUGAGGAGAACCUGAGUAAUGCCCCAUUGUGAAGGAGGGUGUGGAUAUGGAGGGAGUGAUGGGACAUAUUUUUUCCCCCUUUCAUCUCACACAUUAAACAUGUCCCCAGCCAAUUUUCAUAGUUUCCUCAUACCUCAGACACCUUAAACUCAUUUUUUUUUCUUUUUGUAGAGACAGGUUAUCUCUGUUGCCCAGGCUGGUCUCAAACUCCUGGCCUCAAGUGAUCCUCCUGCCUCAGCCUCCCAAAGCACUGGGAUUAUUACAGGUGUGAGCCACCAUGCCUAGCCCACUCUCAAUUUUUUUUUUUUUUGUUUUAGACAGGGUCUCACUCUGUCACCAAGGCUGGAGUGCAGUGGUCUGAUCUCAGCUUACUGCAGCCUCUACCUCCCAGGAUCAAGUGAGCCUCCUGCUUUAGAACCCUGAGUAGCUGGGACUACAGCUGUGUGUCACCACACCUAGCUAAUUUUUGUGGUUUUUUUUUUGUAGAGACAGGGCUUCCAUAUGUUGGCUGGUCUCAAGUGAUCCUCCCGCCUCGGCCUCCCAAAGUGCUGAGAUUACAGGUGUGAGUCACCGCACCUGGCCCAAACUCAUUUUUUAUGUUCCUGCACACAUCAUUCCCUUAUCCAAACCAUUCAUUCAUCCAAAUCUUGACAACCCCUCCUGAGGCAAAAGCUAACGUGACCCAUCCAUUCAGCACAUCUCUGCUGGGUUUGCCAGGUCUCGUCUUCACAGUAGCCCCUUUGGGGGUGACUGAAUAGAUGGAGUUAAGACUGUAUGGGAAGUGGGUGUGCUUAUUGUCCCAGCUACUCAGGAGGCUGAGGUGGGAGGAUCACUUGAGUCCAGGGGUUCAAGGCUAGUCUGAGCAACAAAGACUGUACACACUCCUCAAUUCAGAGGGGACCCAUUUUCUUGAGGUCACUAACCUAGCCCCUCGCCACUGAGUUUAUCUUGGUCCUCCAAUCCUCUCAUUUUAGAAUUGUGCAGGCCUCUCGGGCACAGCAGUCUCAUGGCCAGAGGCAGAGCCAGGGCUGGACUGGAUUCUUUUCCAAGCUGCUGUCCUUUCCAAGAUACCUCAAGAAAAAAACAUUAAAAGACGAAAUAACUCUUGAAGGGGGUUAUACGUACCAUGUAAUGCUUUUUCCACUCACAUGGUUUCAACUUUGGGCUUAUUUGCCAAAAUCUAGGAUGGAAAAGUCCAGUUAUGAACAUGUUCCUCCUGGCUGGAUUUGAUCUUGAAGACACUAAACCCAAUUUCAGAGCAUAUUUAAUCCUGGGCUAUUGCUGAGGCCGACUUAGAAGAGACAAAGUGAGAUGCGAAAGAGGAGAAUUUUUAUGAUAGUUUGUACGUUACAAAUACCCAAGAAACUAUUUUCUUUACACCAUUAUUGCCAUGACUUUUUGUGGACAGUUUCACAUAACUGUAAAGUCCAGGCUGCUCGGGUCUGACCCCUACAGACCUGCCAUGUUGAAGCCCAGCUUUUUCGCUCCCGCACAGGUAAGAAGCUGCUGAUCUUCUGCAGACCCGCCAUGUUGGGGCCCAGCUCCCCACGCCAAGUCAGAAGCUGCUCAUCUUCUGCAACAGGGUUUGGCGCCGUUCUUCAGGGCCGAUGCCCUCAGCAAUGGACUUUAAGAAGCGCUGCUCGUGUGCCCUCUGGAGCAAGGAGCUGACAGAAGGGUUGGUCUUGCU